AUUGAACGCUGGCGGCAGGCUUAACACAUGCAAGUCGAGCGGAGCGAAGGUGCUUGCACCUUAGCUUAGCGGCGGACGGGUGAGUAAUGCUUAGGAAUCUGCCUAUUAGUGGGGGACAACGUUUCGAAAGGAACGCUAAUACCGCAUACGUCCUACGGGAGAAAGCAGGGGAUCUUCGGACCUUGUGCUAAUAGAUGAGCCUAAGUCGGAUUAGCUAGUUGGUGGGGUAAGGCCUACCACGGCGACGAUCUGUAGCGGGUCUGAGAGGAUGAUCCGCCACACUGGGACGGAGAGACGGCCCAGACUCCUACGGGGGGCAGCAGUGGGGAAUAUUGGACAAUGGGCGAAAGCCUGAUCCAGCCAUGCCGCGUGUGUGAAGAAGGCCUUUUGGUUGUAAAGCACUUUAAGCGAGGAGGAGGAGCUUCAGGUUAAUACCCUGGAUGCUUGGACGUUACUCGCAGAAUAAGCACCGGCUAACUCUGUGCCAGCAGCCGCAGUAA
rnacentral:rRNA from 1 species